UAGGGAAUCUUCCACAAUGGACGCAAGUCUGAUGGAGCAACGCCGCGUGAGUGAAGAAGGUUUUCGGAUCGUAAAGCUCUGUUGUUGGUGAAGAAGGAUAGAGGUAGUAACUGGCCUUUAUUUGACGGUAAUCAACCAGAAAGUCACGUCUAACUACGUGCCAGCAGCCGCGGUAAUACGAAGGUGGCAAGCGUUGUCCGGAUUGAUUGGGCGUAACGCGAGCGCAGGCGGAAGAAUAAGUCUGAUGUGAAAGCCCUCGGCUUAACCGAGGAACUGCAUCGGAAACUGUUUUUCUUGAGUGCAGAAGAGGAGAGUGGAAUUCCAUGUGUAGCGAUGGAAUGCGUAGAUAUAUGGAAGAACCCCAGUGGCGAAGGCGACUCUCUGGUCUGCAACUGACGCUGAGGCUCGAAAGCAUGGGUAGCGAACAGG
rnacentral:rRNA from 1 species